rnacentral:rRNA from 1 species
CCACCUUUGACAUGUACGGAAUUCGCCAGAGAUGGCUUAGUGCUCGAAAGAGAACCGUAACACAGGUGCUGCAUGGCUGUCGUCAGCUCGUGUCGUGAGAUGUUGGGUUAAGUCCCGCAACGAGCGCAACCCUUGUCAUUAGUUGCUACAUUCAGUUGGGCACUCUAAUGAGACUGCCGGUGACAAACCGGAGGAAGGUGGGGAUGACGUCAAGUCCUCAUGGCCCUUAUAGGUGGGGCUACACACGUCAUACAAUGGCUGGUACAAAGGGUUGCCAACCCGCGAGGGGGAGCUAAUCCCACAAAACCGAUCGUAGUCCGGAUCGCAGUCUGCAACUCGACUGCGUGAAGUCGGAAUCGCUAGUAAUCGCGAAUCAGAAUGUCGCGGUGAAUACGUUCCC